rnacentral:lncRNA from 1 species
CCUCCAGAAUGAUAUGCACAAUGCUGAUAGGUAUGGAAAAAUUGAGAAUUAGUAUUAGCGGGUUUCGGUGGGAUAGGUUGGAUAAGGUCUGCCUUCUUUAGCCUUUCAAACAGUUGAGUUCUAGUUUCAGCCAAAGCAAUGAAACUUCUGGUGACUUUCUUUUUGUUAUUUGGAUGAGGAAGAUUUUGGUAAGCAGGGGAAGGGACUUGAUGGUAAUUCUGAUUGACUGGGAUUUUUGGUACGCUUGAAAGUUUUGGAUUGGAGCUUGGUAAGUGGUCUGAUAAUUUGGCAAUAGAGUUGGGUAAUUCGGUUGAUUAGUUGAGAAAUUUGGCUUUGGAACUUGGGGGCUAGGUUGGGUAUAGAACACAGGUUGGAGAGUUUAUGGAGCUGAGGGGUACAUAGACGGUGAUGGACUUUGCCCUGAAUUAGAACCGAAAGAUUUCUUUGACUUCAGGUUUGGAAUAAAGGAUACGAACGACACAUCUUCUCUCUUUUUCUUUGGGAAUACUGAAGAUCCAAGUUGUGUAAAGGUCUUGUUGAUUUUUCCCGUCAUGAGUCGUCCAACCGUUUCACCAAUUUUAACCAAGUCAGCAAAAGUAGCACGAAUUGUCGAUAUUAUCUUGUCAUAAAACUCUCCCUAUCAAGCUCGGGUAAACACAACGACUAUUUCUUCUUCUAAUAUAGGAGGUCGUACUUUUGUUGCCUCUUUCCGCCAACGAUAGGCAUAUUCACAAGAGAAUUCAUUAGACUUUCACUUAAUGCGAUUCAAAGAAUAUAGAUUAGGAACCAUCUUUACAUUAUAGGUAAAUGUCUCAACAAAAUCUCUGACUAAGGCUCUCCAUUUAGGCCACUUUUUCAGUUCCUGUGAAGCAAACCAUUCUAACGCUUCUCCACUUAGGCUUCGACUGAAGAUCCUCAUCAAUAAUGCCUCGUUUCUACCAGCGCCUAUCAUUUGGUCACAAUAUCCUCUCAAGUGGGCCGUAGGAUUUCCAGUACCAUUUAAUGUCUCAAACUUAGGGACUUUAAAUCCUUCGAGUAGGUUCAAGUCAAGGUAAACGCAAAGGUCAUUAUAACUGAACCCUAUCGCAUUAGGCGAACCGUGUGUUUUCUUCAUCUUAGCGAUGUCUUCCUUUAUCAGUAGUAUCCCCUAGCAUAUUUGUCUUUAGGCACCCUACACUCUUUUUCCAUCUCCUCAUAAUGUUCAAUUUCUAGGCUUUGGGGGAAUGUAUAGUAAGAGGAAGGCAUUACAGUAGCAUAGAUAGUGGCGGGAGACAUAUUUUGGGUCAUCAGAGGAUUUUGAGUGGUGUGAGCAAAGUUUUGUUAUGUGGAAACUAGAUUUUGGGGAACAUUGGCAUUGGGACUGAAAGUGGGGCGGGUAUUUUAGGAAGUGAAGGCAUUUAUGGAGGUAUUUUGGUAAUUUGGUGUGAAGCUUUGAGGCUAGUAAGCAUUUGGAUUAUUUUCUCGGUUCUUGUGCUUUAAAUUAACACAAUCUUCAGUUGUGUGUCUAACACCUCCAGAAUGAUAUGCAUAAUGCUAAUAGGCAUGGAAAAAUUGAGAAUUAGUAUUGGCGGGUUUCGGUGGGAUAGGUUGGAUAAGGUCUGCCUUCUUUAGCCUUUCAAACAGUUGAGUUCUAGUUUCAGCCAAAGCAAUGAAACUUCUGGUGACUUUUUUUUGUUAUUUGGAUGAGGAAGAUUUUGGUAAGCAGGGGAAGGGACUUGAUGGUAAUUCUGAUUGACUGGGAUUUUUGGUACGCUUGAAAGUUUUGGAUUGGAGCUUGGUAAGUGGUCUGAUAAUUUGGCAAUAGAGUUGGGUAAUUCGGUUGAUUAGUUGAGAAAUUUGGCUUUGGAACUUGGGGGCUAGGUUGGGUAUAGAACACAGGUUGGAGAGUUUAUGGAGCUGAGGGGUAUAUAGACGGUGAUGGACUUUGCCCUGAAUUAGAACCGAAUAAAGGAUACGAAAGACACAUCUUCUCUCUUUUUCUUUGGGAAUCCUGAAGAUCCAAGUUGUGUAAAGGUCUUGUUGAUUUUUCCCGUCAUGAGUCGUUCAACCGUUUCACCAAUUUUAACCAAGUCAGCAAAAGUAGCACGAAUUGUCGAUAUUAUCUUGUCAUAAAACUCUCCCUAUCAAGCUCGAGUAAACACAACGACUAUUUCUUCUUCUAAUAUAGGAGGUCGUACUUUUGUUGCCUCUUUCCGCCA